GAAGAAACUGCAUGUUUCUAUCUUUUUCUCAUCUUACCGCUUUCCUUUAUUCUUCUCCAGUUCACUCAGGUAAAAUCUAAAUAUUUUAACGUUUCCGCUGUCUUGUGUCGGACAUUUAAGAAGGAGUAAGUUGCACGGGACCGGUGUUGGCUUGGCCGGGGUAACACCGACGCAGAAGUGACUGUCGACGGCUGGUUUCAGUGUUAGUGAGAGUACUUUGGGUUUUGACGGUCAUUUUAUGGCUGACGUGUUUUCUCCUGCUUUCUAUAGAAUGAUAGAGUCCCAGGGCAUGUUGUUUCCAGGGUAAUUGGACCUGGAACUGGCUGUAUUCUUGAACAGGCCUUGUCAGGAUUCAGGUUGGAGUGAGGGAUCUUUCCAGAGACGAGCUACGCGGAGGAGUUUGACAGCCUGACGCACCUGCAUUGGAUUCCGGUAACCAGCGGCUGGCUUCUUAAGAAGCGGUGGAACCACCAGUCAUCGCUCGAUGGUUACCACUUGUUGAUCUUGAUCCCGCUUCCCGGAGCCAAGCCUGGAACUCCACCGGUCAGGCGCGUCUCGUUGGUGGGCACCUCCAAACAGUUCUGAUCCGCUGCGGCCCGGGACCCCCGAACCUACCUGGACUCUCGUUCCCUCCUGACGUCCCCCAGUCUCAAUUCUACCUCAUUAAAACAAACCCUCGUAACCGUAAAAAUCUGUUCUUCUGUGCGCACCUGCAUGUGGGCAAGGAAAUUAAAAUCCGACAUGACAGGCCUGUCACGAUAACAAAUUUUACUGAACGAUUAAUUGUCUCAAAAAUUAUUGCGAUAAACGAUAAUAUUGU